rnacentral:piRNA from 1 species
GAAGAAGUUAGAUGAAGUGCGCCUG